rnacentral:rRNA from 1 species
AACGAACGCUGGCGGCAUGCCUAACACAUGCAAGUCGAACGAGACCUUCGGGUCUAGUGGCGCACGGGUGCGUAACGCGUGGGAACCUGCCCUUAGGUUCGGAAUAACUCCCCGAAAGGGGUGCUAAUACCGGCUAAUGUCUUCGGACCAAAGAUUUAUCGCCUUUGGAUGGGCCCGCGUUGGAUUAGCUUGUUGGUAGGGUAAAAGCCUACCAAGGCGACGAUACAUAGCUGGUCUGAGAGGAUGAUCAGCCACACUGGGACUGAGACACGGCCCAGACUCCUACGGGAAGCAGCAGUGGGGAAUAUUGGACAAUGGGCGAAAGCCUGAUCCAGCAAUGCCGCGUGAGUGAUGAAGGCCUUAGGGUUGUAAAGCUCUUUUACCCGGGAUGAUAAUGACAGUACCGGGAGAAUAAGCUCCGGCUAACUCCGUG